AUUGAACGCUGGCGGCAGGCCUAACACAUGCAAGUCGAGCGGAUGAAGAGAGCUUGCUCUCUGAUUCAGCGGCGGACGGGUGAGUAAUGCCUAGGAAUCUGCCUGGUAGUGGGGGACAACAGUUGGAAACGACUGCUAAUACCGCAUACGUCCUACGGGAGAAAGCAGGGGACCUUCGGGCCUUGCGCUAUCAGAUGAGCCUAGGUCGGAUUAGCUAGGAGGUGAGGUAAUGGCUCACCUAGGCGACGAUCCGGAACUGGUCUGAGAGGAUGAUCAGUCACACUGGAACUGAGACACGGUCCAGACUCCUACGGGAGGCAGCAGUGGGGAAUAUUGGACAAUGGGCGAAAGCCUGAUCCAGCCAUGCCGCGUGUGUGAAGAAGGUCUUCGGAUUGUAAAGCACUUUAAGUUGGGAGGAAGGGCAGUAAGUUAAUACCUUGCUGUUUUGACGUUACCGACAGAAUAAGCACCGGCUAACUUCGUGCCAGCCGCCGCAGUAAGAC
rnacentral:rRNA from 1 species